AUAUGACAUGACGAUUUUUAAACUUCUCGCAAUGGAGGAGCGUUACUAAACAUACUGCCAAAAGAAUGAGAUCUGAAAUUGGGAAUGAAUUCACGCUUUCUCCGCGCUGACAACGUUGAAAAGGAUUUUCGAGUCUUUCGAAAUGUGGUCAGGCCCUCACGGUGGUUUAUUAUAGACACUAAUCAUGUAAUAUUUGAGUACAUCUCGCUUUUCCAAGCUGAAAUAAAUUUAUAUGUUUUGAAAAACCGUGAAA